ensembl:lncRNA
GAUCCGAAAAUGAUCUGACCCGUGACUCAAAAACCGUGACACGAUCCGAACCGUGAGUUUUGUGAUCCGUUGCACCCCUAAUUUUAAGUAGUGUUCUUUAAUCCUGUCCUGGAGGACUGCUUAUCCUGUACAAUGUAGCUCUCUCCCUGCAUCUACACAGCUGAUAAUCAGGGAUAGUUAAAAUGACUAACAGGAUAAGUGGUACUCCAGGAGAGCCGGGUGAAUGCUUUAAGGGGGGAGGAGUUUGAAUGCACAGCUAGGGCCUUCAACAGGUCCAGUUUUGACCCCUACUUAAAGUUGGAUGUGGUGUUUGUCGAUGGCGAUGGGGUGCCAGAAGGAGCAGUGGAUGAGGGGGGACCGACCAGAGAGAUCUGUACCCUACUCAUCCACCAAAUGCAGAACAAUUGUAUUUUUGAAGGUCCUGAGGGCAACAACAACAAAACCCUGGCCCUGAACAGUGUUGCAUUGCAGAAAGGACAGUACAGGCUGGUGGGGAAGAUGAUUGCCCUCUGCUUUGUGCAGGGGCAGGUCUCUCCCUGAUUUCUAUCGGAGCGCCUGUACAGACAGGUUUGUAAUCCGUCCCCUCUUCCUGCCACUUUGGAAGAGGUGACAGAUUACAAUUUGAGGACCAAGCUCCGAAAGAUUGCAGAUGCCACACAUGUGGAAGGUGCGAGGGAGGCUAUGGAGGAGGCCACAGGCGAGCUCUCCCUCAUGGGCUCCUUCUCCUUUGUGCGGAGCCUCCCGCAUAGGGAUAAGCUGCUGGGGGCAGCCCUCCAUUUUACUUUUAUGUCGAC